GAGGAUGUAGCUCAGUGAUAGAGUGCUUGCCUAGCAUGGAUGAGGCCCUGGGUUCAAUCCCCAGCACUGCA
rnacentral:tRNA from 1 species